rnacentral:rRNA from 1 species
AAGGGGUGGAGGCUGCGGUUCAAUUGGAGUCAACGCCGGAAACCUUACCAGGGGCGACAGCAGAAUGAAGGCCAGGCUGAAGACCUUGCCAGACAAGCUGAGAGGAGGUGCAUGGCCGUCGCCGGCUCGUGCCAUGAGGUGUCCGGUUAAGUCCGGCAACGAGCGAGACCCCCGCGCCCAUUUGCUAAGGCGGUUCUUUGAAUCGCCUGCACCAUGGGCGGACUGCCGGCGCAAGCCGGAGGAAGGUGGGGGCUACGGCAGGUCAGUAUGCCCCGAAACCCCUGGGCUACACGCGGCCUGCAAUGGGCGGGACAAUGGGUUCCGAACCCGAAAGGGGGAGGCAAUCCCAGAAACCCGCCCUCAGUCGGAAUCGUGGGUUGCAACUCACCCACGUGAAUCGCGGAAUCCCUAGUAAUCGCGCGUCACUAUCGCGCGGUGAAUACGUCCCUGUUCCUU